AGAACGAACGCUGGCGGCAGGCCUCAAACAUGCAAGUCUAGGGGGUGUAGCAAUACAUCACCGGCGGACGGGUGCGUAACGCGUGGGAAUGUACCUAUUGGUUCGGAACAACUGAGGGAAACUUCAGCUAAUACCGGAUGAGCCCGAAAGGGGAAAGAUUUCUCGCCAAUAGAUCAGCCCGCGUCCGAUUAGCUAGUUGGUGGGGUUAAAGCCUACCAAGGCGACGAUCGGUAGCUGUUCUGAGAGGAAGAUCAGCCACACUGGGACUGAGACACGGCCCAGACUCCUACGGGAGGCAGCAGUUGGGAAUCUGGACAAUGGGGAACCCUGAUCCAGCCAUGCCGCGUGAGUGAUGAAGGCCUUCGGGUUGUAAAACUCUUUCGACGGGACGAUAAUGACGGUACCCGUAGAAGAAGCUCCGGCUAACUUCGCGCCAGCAGCCGC
rnacentral:rRNA from 1 species